rnacentral:tRNA from 1 species
GAGGGUAUAGCUCAGUGGGAGAGUAUGGGCUUAGCAGGCACGAAGUCCUGAGUUCAAUCCCCAGUACCUCCC